rnacentral:rRNA from 1 species
GGAAUAUUGCGCAAUGGACGAAAGUCUGACGCAGCAACGCCGCGCGGGCGAUGAAGGCUUUCGGGUCGUAAAGCCCUGUCGGAAGGGAAGAAAAACGAGAUGGCUAAUAUCCAUUUCGAUUGACGGUACCUUAGAAGGAAGCACCGGCUAACUACGUGCCAGCAGCCGCGGUAAUACGUAGGGUGCUAACGUUGUUCGGAAUCAUUGGGCGUAAAGCGCGUGUAGGUGGUUACACAAGUUGGAUGUGAAAUCCCUGGGCUUAACCGAGGAAGUGCAUCCAAAACUAGGUAGCUAGAGGACGGUAGAGGAAGGUGGAAUUCCAAGUGUAGAGGUGAAAUUCGUAGAUAUUUGGAGGAAUACCUGUGGCGAAGGCGGCCUUCUGGGCCGUUCCUGACACUGAGACGCGAAAGCGUGGGGAGCAAA